rnacentral:rRNA from 1 species
AGUCGAGCGGUAGAGAGAAGCUUGCUUCUCUUGAGAGCGGCGGACGGGUGAGUAAUGCCUAGGAAUCUGCCUGGUAGUGGGGGAUAACGUUCGGAAACGGACGCUAAUACCGCAUACGUCCUACGGGAGAAAGCAGGGGACCUUCGGGCCUUGCGCUAUCAGAUGAGCCUAGGUCGGAUUAGCUAGUUGGUGGGGUAAUGGCUCACCAAGGCGACGAUCCGUAACUGGUCUGAGAGGAUGAUCAGUCACACUGGAACUGAGACACGGUCCAGACUCCUACGGGAGGCAGCAGUGGGGAAUAUUGGACAAUGGGCGAAAGCCUGAUCCAGCCAUGCCGCGUGUGUGAAGAAGGUCUUCGGAUUGUAAAGCACUUUAAGUUGGGAGGAAGGGUUGUAGAUUAAUACUCUGCAAUUUUGACGUUACCGACAGAAUAAGCACCGGCUAACUCUGUGCCAGCAGCCGCGGUAAUACAGAGGGUGCAAGCGUUAAUCGGAAUUACUGGGCGUAAAGCGCGCGUAGGUGGUUUGUUAAGUUGGAUGUGAAAUCCCCGGGCUCAACCUGGGAACUGCAUUCAAAACUGACUGACUAGAGUAUGGUAGAGGGUGGUGGAAUUUCCUGUGUAGCGGUGAAAUGCGUAGAUAUAGGAAGGAACACCAGUGGCGAAGGCGACCACCUGGAC